rnacentral:lncRNA from 1 species
UCCCCUGAGUCCAUACUACAAUUACAUUCUUUAAAAGAAAAGGUGUAGCAGAAAAGUUAAUUUACCAAUGUAGGUCCAAAAUAGUUGAAUUUUACAAAAUAUUUGAUGAAAAGUUCGAAGAAUAAAAAGAAAAAGGAAAAAAAAGUCUGAAAUAUAUCCGAACUUUGAUCGAAAUUGUUGUAACAAUAUCAAACUUUGGAAAGGACCUUUUACUCCCCUGAACUAUUUAAUAGUAUAUUUUAAAGGUAUAUAUGUGUCCACGUGGAC